rnacentral:rRNA from 1 species
UUCAAGACGGGCGGUAUUGCGCCGUUGUGCCAGCAUCCGAGACUGACCACGCAGUCCUCGGUCCCCGCACGCGGUAUCUGGCGCCGGCUAUAACACUCCGAAGAGCCACUUUCCGGCACCCAUUCUCCCGCAGCAAGAACCGAUGCUGGCCCAGAGAGCGCCCAGAGCGCCGCCUACAAGAGACAGCGGUGCGCACUCCCCAUGUCGGGCCCAAUACCCUUCCCUUUCAACAAUUUCACGUGCUGUUUCACUCUCUUUUCAAAGUGCUUUUCAUCUUUCCUUCACAGUACUUGUUCGCUAUCGGUCUCUCGCCAGUAUUUAGCCUUAGAUGGAAUUUACCACCCACUUGGAGCUGCAUUCCCAAACAACUCGACUCGUCAGCAGGGCCUCAGAGCUUCGCACGGCACCCCACGGGGCUCUCACCCUCUCAGGCGCCCUGUUCCAAGGGACUUGGACACCGUGCUCCACAAAGACUCCCGCCUACACUCUACAACUCGUGCCAAAAAAAUUAGCACGAUUUCAAAUCUGAGCUCUUGCCGCUUCAGUAGCCGCUACUGGGGCAAUCCCUGUUGGUUUCUUUUCCUCCGCUUAUUGAUAUGCAA